rnacentral:rRNA from 1 species
UAGGGAAUCUUCCACAAUGGACGCAAGUCUGAUGGAGCAACGCCGCGUGAGUGAAGGAAGAUCUUCGGAUCGUAAAACUCUGUUGUUAGAGAAGAACACGAGUGAGAGUAACUGUUCAUUCGAUGACGGUAUCUAACCAGCAAGUCACGGCUAACUACGUGCCAU